AUUGAACGCUGGCGGCAUGCUUUACACAUGCAAGUCGAGCGGCAGCGCGGGGGGCAACUCUGGCGGCGAGCGGCGAACGGGUGAGGAAUACAUCGGAACGUACCCCGGAGUGGGGGAUAACGCCGCGAAAGCGGCGCUAAUACCGCAUAUGCUCUGCGGAGGAAAGUGGGGGACUCGCAAGGGCCUCACGCUCUGGGCGCGGCCGAUGUCCGAUUAGCUAGUUGGGAGGUAAUGGCUCACCAAGGCGACGAUCGGUAGCUGGUCUGAGAGGAUGAUCAGCCACACUGGGACUGAGACACGG
rnacentral:rRNA from 1 species